GGAGAAGCAUGAUUUACCUUUUCCUUAUUCAUCACGGCUUCUUAUUUUAAACUGAAAGUUAUGAACCAUAACAUCUGAGCAAGCUGAAUUUUGUGCUUGGCAUUUCAUUUUACUUUUAUCAUGUCAAUUUAUCUUUAAAAUAUUCCUUAACUUUUUUUCUACUCUUCAUGUUUUCAAAGAACUGAGUUGUCGUAUGCUUGUUAUUACUAGAUAGAAUAUUAACUUGUCUUUAAGUUUUGCCUGCAAGUAAUCUUUGUUUCACAUUUUACAAAAAAUUUGUCUGAUUUUUAUUGGUUUCAUUGUUGUUGCUGGCAUGCAUACUACCAUUGUUAUGAUUUUUCUGCCUACAGUGUUGCAUAUGCAUAUGCUUGUGGUCUGGAACUUGGAUGGCUGCAAAACGGAUAGUCUCUUAUCAUGAUUGAAAAUCUCAUUUUGC
rnacentral:misc_RNA from 1 species